AACUAUAAAACAAAGAAAAUAUUCAUACUGUGAAGGUUAGUAAAUUUUAAAAAAAGCUAGCUUUAUACUUAGAAAGAUCAACUUUAGCAUAACUGUUAGACCUACAUAGACCAAGCUUCAUGUGUUGGAAUAUUUUUCAAGGAUUUGCAUUUAGUGACAACCUAAAUUGAGAGCAUUGCAUGAGUAAUGAAAUAACAAAUCAAUAAAUACUAAAAUUGUUGACUUCAGCAAAGUCAUGGUCUCCUGGGGAAAGGUAUAUAUGGUGCAAAAUACUGUUUCCAGUAGUGCAAUGCGCUUACGAAAAGCCAGUGGUUUCAGGUCAAUGGAUUUCAACUUUCACCUGACAAUUCAGCAAAUUUAUGUUUUGAUUUGACUUAGUUACGUCUAUUGAAAGCAACUUCCGGACAAUUAAACCUUGCUGUAAGGUAGUCUAUGGGGCUAAAAUUUAGUGUUUUACCAUCUUGGUAACAGUAGCUGAUGUAAUUUACCAAUUUCCAGAGCUUUUUGUUUUUAAUUUGAAUUUUACUCAGACAUGAAAAAACUGACUGAUACUACCAAAUCAAAUUUUAAACUCAAGACAGUACCUCACUCACACAUACAGUUCUCACUUAAGUGUUAAAGAAAUUCGUAUUUGCUUCAUUCUGCAUUACCACUCUAAGAACCUGGCUCAAAUAACUUGUGCCGCUUUGUCAUCCAAUCACAAGAGAAACAAAAACCAACUGUGACUACGCUGCACACACAGCAAAACUCAAAUUUGGCCAACAAUUGUAAAAAUUACACCCCAGCUAAAGAAUCAUACAUGUUAAUCUAAGAUUAUGCUGACAACUAGAUGGAGUGGGUAUGGACAAAUUAUUCAAACCUUUGCUUGCCACAGAAAAAUUACUGUGGUUGAAAAUGUCUGAUCCUAUGCAACAACCAUCUUGAAGGAAAAGCAAAAAGAGAGCAAAGAUGGCGGACUUACCGAACGUGGGAGAAGAUAGUCCUAAAAGAACGCGGGUAUUCGUGAAUCAUGUGGAUUUAUUCACUGGUAAAAAUAUCAGCAAGAUAUUAGCAUCCUCUGUUGUCGGUGCUACAGCAGAGGAAGAUGAAGGCAACGAUGAUGAGUCCCAAGCUAGUGGACAGCCUCAAAUUCCAAAGGAAAAUUGUUAUGAAGUAGUUGGUACCUUGCAAGAUCCAACUCAACGCAAACCUGAAUGGGUUGAGGACGUGUUUGAGGUGUGUGCUUUAGGUUUUACAGUAAAUCUCUGUAAGGUUUACAGUAAGAUCUCUGUAAACCGAUUUCUUUCUUUUUGUGUGCAAUUCUUCCCAUCUUUAAGCCGGGGGGGGGGGGGGGGGGGGGGCUGAAAUUUUGUUGCGAUUACAUGACGAAUUUCAGCCCGGACUGAAAUAUUAGCCUCGACGCCAAAUAUGUAACUGCGCGCGAAGAGUCUCAGGAGAGGCGCCGAGAACAUGAAUCGUGAAAAUAGGCGCAUUGGUUCUCUCGCAGUUCAGCCUUUUGUUGGCGCUCAAUUUUCAACCUUUUUGGGAUGGUAACAGCCUACAAGAUGAUGGAACUGAAACGAAACCUGUCUUUUGCUACAUAUCUCUCAGCCAGAAAUACACACUUGCAUAGAAAGAGAAGAUAUCUUCAAGCUCGCCGAGUUCGCCGAAAGCAUUGAACUCGAAGUUCUUAUAUUCCACCUGAGCUUUGAAAUUUGCGAGACAACGAAUAAGAUUCUCUAUUUCGACGCCUUUAUUCCACUGAAAUUGCUUCUCCUUCGUAGCGGCAGUCAUCUUGUUUCCCAUGGGAUUUUUUUCCCAUUUUUCAGCCCAUUUGCCAGGUUUUUCAAACUGGGCAAGGAUUUUCAGCCUGGGCUGAAUUACUGCCCGAGAUGAAUCCUUCUCCAUGUGAUAGCCAAUUUAAUUAUAAGAGGAUUUGUUUCAGAAGCCGGGCUGAAAUUCGCCAUGUAAUCAGGCCCUUCAACACGGCAGAAACUCGACUCUGAUUCAGACUUCGUGCUAGAGUCGUACCAAAAUCAAGAUUCACUGAAGCCAUGUAACUAUUCUCCUAGUAACUCCCUACGAAAACGCAAUCCUAUCAAAAUACAUUAAUAAUUUAUGAAUUUUGUUUGGCGCGGCAAACACGACGUUUAAAUUGCCGCCGUGCAAGAGUCGUGUAAAGCCUGGUUCUGAUAUCCCGCCGACCUACCUGCGACGUAGUCGCCGGUUGCAGCUUACGUUCAGCGAUCUGUUUGAGUGGGUCCCCGGCGCAUCUGCGAUGGAUCGCCGACGUACUCUAAUUGGCGCGGAAUGCAAAUCGAAUUGGCGCAACUUUCAACCAUUCUACCUGUAAAUAUGGAUCGAAUCGUCUUACUGGAGUACGUUGCGUCCGCAGAUGAUGUUCACAUAAAAUAUUUUCAUCGCCGAUAAUCGCCGACAACCGCCGGGUUGCCUACGAAGUUGAACUCAGCUCAACUU